GGGUGUGACCAUACCAGCACUAACGCACCGGAUCCCAUCAGAACUCCCAUGUUAAGCGUGCUUGGGCGACAGUUGUACUAGGAUGGGUGACCCCCUUGGAAGUCCUCGUGCUACACCCC
rnacentral:rRNA from 1 species